CCUACGGGAGGCAGCAGUGGGGAAUAUUGGGCAAUGGAGGAAACUCUGACCCAGCAACGCCGCGUGAAUGAUGAAGGUCUUCGGAUUGUAACGCUCUUUUCUACAGGAAGCAGAAGGUGACGGUCCCUUAGGCCUCAGCCUCGGCUAACUACGUGCCCUCAGCCGCGGUAAUACGUAGGAGGUGCGCGGUCUCAGGAAUGACUGGGCGUAAAGGGUGCGUAGGUGGUUUGGCAAGUUAGUAUCGUAACUCCAAGGCUUAACCGUGGAACUACUACGAAAACUGUUGGACUUGAGUGCAGGAGGGGCAACCGGAAUUCCGAGUGUAGCGGGGGAAUGCGUAGAUAGUAGGAGGAACACCAGUGGCGAAGGCGGGUUGCUAGACUGUAACUGACACGGAGGCACGAAAGCGUGGGGAGCAAACAGGAGUAGAUACCCCAGUAGUC
rnacentral:rRNA from 1 species